GUGCUCACUUCGGCAGUACAUACACUAAAGUUGGAAUGGUACAGAAAUUAGUGUGGCCAUGUGCAAGGAUGAUACGCAAAUUUGUGAAGCAUUCCAUAGUUCU
ensembl:snRNA U6 U6 spliceosomal RNA